AGAGUUUGAUCCUGGCUCAGGACGAACGCUGGCGGCGUGCCUAACACAUGCAAGUGGAGCGACGAACCAGGCUUCGGCCUGGGGCAAAGCCGCGAACGGAUGAGUAACACGUGGGUAACCUGCCCCGAUGAUCGGGACAACCCGGGGAAACCCGGGCUAAUACCGAAUGUGGUCCCGGCUCUUGAGAGCCGUGACGAAAGGAAGCUUCGGCCUCCGCAUCGGGAGGGGCCCGCGGCCCAUUAGCUCGUUGGUGGGGUAACGGCCUACCAAGGCUCCGAUGGGUAGCUGGUCUGAGAGGACGAUCAGCCACACUGGGACUGAGACACGGCCCAGACUCCUACGGGAGGCAGCAGUGGGGAAUCUUGCGCAAUGCGCGAAAGCGUGACGCAGCAACGCCGCGUGCGGGAAGACGGCCUUCGGGUUGUAAACCGCUUUCAGUUGGGACGAAGCUUCGCCGGUGAACAGCCGGCUGGAGUGACGGUACCUUCAGAAGAAGCCCCGGCUAACUACGUGCCAGCCGCCGCGGUAAUUC
rnacentral:rRNA from 1 species